GUGUUGCAAGCCUAGUGAAGCCGUGUGUGGCCAUUUUCGAUUCACUAGCACUUUGUUGUUCAUGUUGUUGUUCUUGUGUUGGUUGGAAUCUCUUGAUACACACUUAGUAUUGUAUCAAUUUCAAAUCUAUUUCUUGAAAUUCCUAAAAUAUCUAGCUGCACUAUGUGGCCCAUAGUUAAGCAGUCUGUUAAGUGCUGAAUUUGAAUUAUAAGAUUUUUUUUUUUCUGAAUUUCUCAAAAUUCUAUUGAUGUUUUAGUUGGUACAAUCUAUUAGAGAGUUCCACAUAGAUCUCGAUUGUCUGGAUUAUUGAUGUUCUUCCGUACUACAAAAUUGCAAAACAAAAUGACAACCUUAUAAUUUCACAAUGUUUCAUGUAGGCCUGGGACCAAACAGAGCAGCUCAACCGAAUUUUAUACAGUACCGAUCUGAAUUCGGUCGAGCUUUGUUACAGUAGAACCGGGCCCAAGCUGAGUCCAGUCAAACUUUCUUACACUAAAACGGUUUCCAUGGAUAUGGUCCGCUGACAGUGCAAAUCUAUUUGAUUUCCACGAAUCUGGUUCACAGAAGACCCGUGUAUAAAGAUGAGUAAAGUAUAAAAGCUUCUGUUGAUUUCAUUGGCAUGUAUGUGUAUAUAUAUACAAGAGAAUACAAACUAAAUAAGGAAAGAAUUAACUAAUAAAGAAUUGUGAUCUUCUCC